rnacentral:rRNA from 1 species
UUGUAAACUGCUUUUAUACAAGGAAGAAACCCNAGUACGUGUACUGGGNUGACGGUAUUGUACGAAUAAGCACCGGCUAACUCCGUGCCAGCAGCCGCGGGUAAUAUNNN